rnacentral:rRNA from 1 species
CUUUUGUAGAAUGAACCGGCGAGUUACGAUUGCAUGCGAGGUUAAGUUGAAGAGACGGAGCCGCAGCGAAAGCGAGUCUGAAUAGGGCGUUUGAGUAUGUAGUCGUAGACCCGAAACCAUGUGAUCUACCCAUGUCCAGGUUGAAGGUGCGGUAAAACGCACUGGAGGACCGAACCCACGUACGUUGAAAAGUGCGGGGAUGAGGUGUGGGUAGCGGAGAAAUUCCAAACGAACUUGGAGAUAGCUGGUUCUCUCCGAAAUAGCUUUAGGGCUAGCCUCGGAAUUGAGAAUGAUGGAGGUAGAGCACUGUUUGGACUAGGGACCCAUCUCGGGUUACCGAAUUCAGAUAAACUCCGAAUGCCAUUCAUUCAUAUCCGGGAGUCAGACUGUGAGUGAUAAGAUCCAUAGUCGAAAGGGAAACAGCCCAGACCACCAGCUAAGGUCCCAAAAUAUAUGUUAAGUGGAAAAGGAUGUGGGGUUGCACAGACAACUAGGAUGUUGGCUUAGAAGCAGCCACCAUUAAAGAGUGCGUAAUAGCUCACUAGUCGAGUGACCCUGCGCCGAAAAUGUACCGGGGCUAAACAUAUUACCGAAGCUGUGGAGUACACCUUUAGGUGUAUUGGUAGGAGAGCGUUCUAAGGG